UACGUAGGGUGCGAGCGUUAAUCGGAAUUACUGGGCGUAAAGAGUGCGUAGGCGGUUCGUUAUGUCUGCUGUGAAAGCCCCGGGCUUAACCCGGGAAUGGCAGUGGAAACUGGCGGGCUUGAGUGUGGCAGAGGGGGGUGGAAUUCCGCGUGUAGCAGUGAAAUGCGUAGAGAUGCGGAGGAACACCGAUGGCGAAGGCAGCCCCCUGGGCUAGCACUGACGCUCAGGCACGAAAGCGUGGGGAGCAAACAGG
rnacentral:rRNA from 1 species